UACGUAGGGGGCAAGCGUUGUCCGGAAUCAUUGGGCGUAAAGCGCGUGUAGGCGGUUCGGUAAGUCUGCUGUGAAAGUCCAGGGCUCAACCCUGGGAUGCCGGUGGAUACUGUCGGACUAGAGUACGGAAGAGGCGAGUGGAAUUCCCGGUGUAGCGGUGAAAUGCGCAGAUAUCGGGAAGAACACCCGUGGCGAAGGCGGCUCUCUGGGACGGUACUGACGCUGAGGGGCGAAAGCGUGGGGAGCGAACGGG
rnacentral:rRNA from 1 species